GAUCUUUCUAUGAAUCAUCAUUGCUUCUCUAGCAAUGUGCAGAAUUCAGUUCAUCAUAGCUGGUAACGCUUUGGGGACACAUUAGCAGAAAAGUUAAAGUGAGUCAUGUGAAGGUGUGAGCAAACCAUCUCGGGAGCAUAUUUAAAGAUGGAAGAGCAACUUUUGUACCUCUGAUAUUCCUGAUAUCCCCAUGAGCAGAACAGCCCCCCUUUAGUUACUGAAAGGCUGCACUCAGGUCUCCCUGGAGCCUUCUCUUCUCCAGGCUGAACAGUCCCAGCUCUCUCAGCCUGUCCUUGUAGGGGAGGUGUUUCAUCCCUUGGGACGUUUCUGUGGCCCUUCUCUGGAUGUGCUCCCACAGCUCUAUGUCUUUUCUGUACUGAGGACUCCACAUGUGGACACAGUACUCCAGGUGAGGUCUCAGCAGCACAGAGCAGAGGGGCAGGAUCACAUCCCUCACCUUGCUGGCCGCGCUGCUUUUGACGCAGCCCAGGAUACGGUUUGC
ensembl:lncRNA